rnacentral:rRNA from 1 species
GACGAACGCUGGCGGCGUGCCUAAUACAUGCAAGUCGAACGCAGUUGCGAACGGGUGAGUAACGCGUAGGUAACUGCCUCAUAGCGGGGGAUAACUAUUGGGAACGAUAGCUAAUACCGCAUAGUGUGAGAUGGACCUGCGUUGUAUUAGCUAGUUGGUGGGGUAAAGGCUCAACAAGGCGACGAUACAUAGCCGACCUGGGAGGGUGGUCGGCCAGACUGUGACGGGGACACGGCCCAGACUCCCUCGGGAGGCAGCAGUAGGGAAUCUUGGGCAAUGGGCGGAAAUCUGAGCCAGAAACGCCGCGGGAGGGAAGAAGGUGUUCGGGUCGGAAAGCUCUGUUGUUAGAGAAGCGGUAACUAAACAGAAAGGGCCGGCUAACUACGUGCCAGCAGCCGCGGUAAUAC